rnacentral:rRNA from 1 species
AUGAACGCUAGCUACAGGCUUAACACAUGCAAGUCGAGGGGCAGCAUGGUCUUAGCUUGCUAAGGCCGAUGGCGACCGGCGCACGGGUGAGUAACACGUAUCCAACCUGCCGUCUACUCUUGGACAGCCUUCUGAAAGGAAGAUUAAUACAAGAUGGCAUCAUGAGUCCGCAUGUUCACAUGAUUAAAGGUAUUCCGGUAGACGAUGGGGAUGCGUUCCAUUAGAUAGUAGGCGGGGUAACGGCCCACCUAGUCUUCGAUGGAUAGGGGUUCUGAGAGGAAGGUCCCCCACAUUGGAACUGAGACACGGUCCAAACUCCUACGGGAGGCAGCAGUGAGGAAUAUUGGUCAAUGGGCGAGAGCCUGAACCAGCCAAGUAGCGUGAAGGAUGACUGCCCUAUGGGUUGUAAACUUCUUUUAUAAAGGAAUAAAGUCGGGUAUGGAUACCCGUUUGCAUGUACUUUAUGAAUAAGGAUCGGCUAACUCCGUGCCAGCAGCCGCGGUAAUACGGAGGAUCCGAGCGUUAUCCGGAUUUAUUGGGUUUAAAGGGAGCGUAGAUGGAUGUUUAAGUCAGUUGUGAAAGUUUGCGGCUCAACCGUAAAAUUGCAGUUGAUACUGGAUAUCUUGAGUGCAGUUGAGGCAGGCGGAAUUCGUGGUGUAGCGGUGAAAUGCUUAGAUAUCACGAAGAACUCCGAUUGCGAAGGCAGCCUGCUAAGCUGCAACUGACAUUGAGGCUCGAAAGUGUGGGUAUCAAACAGGAUUAGAUACCCUGGUAGUCCACACAGUAAACGAUGAAUACUCGCUGUUUGCGAUAUACUGCAAGCGGCCAAGCGAAAGCGUUAAGUAUUCCACCUGGGGAGUACGCCGGCAACGGUGAAACUCAAAGGAAUUGACGGGGGCCCGCACAAGCGGAGGAACAUGUGGUUUAAUUCGAUGAUACGCGAGGAACCUUACCCGGGCUUAAAUUGCAGAUGAAUUACGGUGAAAGCCGUAAGCCGCAAGGCAUCUGUGAAGGUGCUGCAUGGUUGUCGUCAGCUCGUGCCGUGAGGUGUCGGCUUAAGUGCCAUAACGAGCGCAACCCUUGUUGUCAGUUACUAACAGGUUCCGCUGAGGACUCUGACAAGACUGCCAUCGUAAGAUGUGAGGAAGGUGGGGAUGACGUCAAAUCAGCACGGCCCUUACGUCCGGGGCUACACACGUGUUACAAUGGGGGGUACAGAGGGCCGCUACCACGCGAGUGGAUGCCAAUCCCCAAAACCUCUCUCAGUUCGGACUGGAGUCUGCAACCCGACUCCACGAAGCUGGAUUCGCUAGUAAUCGCGCAUCAGCCACGGCGCGGUGAAUACGUUCCCGGGCCUUGUACACACCGCCCGUCAAGCCAUGGGAGCCGGGGGUACCUGAAGUGCGUAACCGCGAGGAGCGCCCUAGGGUAAAACUGGUGACUGGGGCU